rnacentral:rRNA from 1 species
AGUGAACGCUGGCGGUAGGCCUAACACAUGCAAGUCGAACGGCAGCACAGUAAGAGCUUGCUCUUACGGGUGGCGAGCGGCGGACGGGUGAGGAAUACAUCGGAAUCUACUUUUUCGUGGGGGAUAACGUAGGGAAACUUACGCUAAUACCGCAUACGACCUACGGGUGAAAGCAGGGGAUCUUCGGACCUUGCGCGAUUGAAUGAGCCGAUGUCGGAUUAGCUAGUUGGCGGGGUAAAGGCCCACCAAGGCGACGAUCCGUAGCUGGUCUGAGAGGAUGGGGAGCCACCAGGGAACGGUGACGCGCACAGGACGCCUGCGGGACGCAGCAGUGGGGAAUGUGGGACAAGGGGCGCGAGUCUGAUCCAGCCUUGCGGAGUGGGAGAAAAGAACCUUGUGGUUGCAAAGCCCUUUUGUGGGUAAAGAAAAGCAACGGGUUGGGACCCCGCGGUUCUGACGGUGCCGAAAAAAUAAGCACCGGCUAACUUCGUG